rnacentral:rRNA from 1 species
GAUGAACGCUGGCGGCGUGCUUAACACAUGCAAGUCGAACGGAAAGGCUCCUGCUUGCAGGGGUUUUCGAUUGGCGAACGGGUGAGUAACACGUGGGUGAUCUGCCCUGCACUUCGGGAUAAGCCUGGGGAACUGGGUCUCUUACCGGAUAGGACGAUGGUUUGGAUGCCAUUGUGGAAAGUUUUGCGGUAUGGGAUGGGCUCGCGGGCUAUCAGCUUGUUGGUUGGGUAAUGGUCUACCAAGGCGUCGACGGGUAGCCGGCAUGAGAGGGGGUACGGCCACAUUGGGACUGAGAUACGACCCAGACUCCUACGGGACGCAGCAGUGGGGAACAUUGCACAAUGGGCGCAAGCCUGAUGCAGCGACGUCGCGUGGGGGAUGACGUCCUUCGGGUUGUAAACUCCUGUCGCUAGGGACGAAGCGCAAGUGACGGUACCUGGAGAAGAAGCACCGGCUAACUACGUG